UGAUUGUGCUUUACUUAUUGGAAUCCGACGAACACCCUUUCCAGUCCCAUGGUUCCUGCCAUUGUCGUGCCGAUCAAAGUGGGAAUAGCAUCAGCUCAAGUGGGAGUAGGCUGGACUUAUUUCAUUCCCAGGGAUGACUCUGAGACCAGGGACUAGGUGUACUACCUGACACGGUGGCUGGUUGGUGGGAUACAAGAGGAGAUGCCAGUGGGGCGCGUGAAAUGGUCCGGAUGUACUAACCAAAAUAAAAAUGUUACAAACAAAACACAAACCGAAAUAACUGAUAAAGGCACGAAUCAAAGCUGUCCUGCUAUGUCUGAAAUAACCGCUACGUUCUGUCGAAACAGUUGCUCCAUCUCUUCUGUCCCUCAUCUAAGAUGGGUGUAAAUAUUAUCUGUUUGAACUUUGCCUUUAAAAGCUGCCGUUCUCUUGAGCUUUGGCACCAAGAGUCUUUCUGAGGCACUAGCCUGCUCUUGAUUGCCAGGCAAAAAAAAUUCUUAAUUGGCUUAGUGUUAUAGCACAGUUAUGAAGGUACACCCUAAAAUGCAAAAGGCUUGUGAUCUGACUGUUUCUCUGGUUAUUAUUGGGGGAAUUAUCUUCUAGAUGCUUCAAGAAUGUGUGCGUGUGUGUGUGUGUGUGUGUGUGUGUGUGUGUGUGUGUGCUUAAAACACCCUGAGAGGCUCAGGGCUACAAUGGAAUCCCCAAUGUCCAGUGUAGAAUACCCAGUGUAGUUGCCCAUUGGCUAAUAACGACUUCCUAUUGCAGUGGUUCUCAAACUUUCUAAUUCUGUGACCCUUAAUACAGUUCUUCAUGUGACCCCAGAUAUAAAAUUAUUUUUAUUGCUACUUCAUAACUAUAACUUUGCUACUAUGAUUAAUCAUAGUGUAAAUAGCCAAUACCGGCUAUUUCAUAAGCAACUUCUGUGAAAUAGUAGUUCAACCUCCUCUACAGGGGUCACAACCCACAAGUUGAGAACUGUUUCUGGGUCCUAACGGCUCCUUUGGGGGAGGGGGUGAGAAGGUGCGGCCUCAAGGGCAUCAAGUUCGGGAGUCAGGUGAAAGGCAAGCAGCAGACUUGUUUAUUCGGUAACUGGGAACACUUAUAUAACCUCCUCCCAGCACCCAAGCUGUGUUCUGAUUCGUUGACAUCACAUGAUCACCCUUCAUUGGCACGAUCAGGACCUCUGACAGCACCUGUUGUUAGGCCCUCUGGUUGGCUCAUUUCUCAGCCUUGUAGGCCUUAUCUUCUUAUAUAUCUAUCCCCUUUUUUUAUUUAUUACAUGGGUGCUGAGCGGGAGCCAGAGUACUUUGCUCAGGCCUUGUUGAUUCUGCCUCAGGAGGGCUCAGCAACGGGACUGUGCCUGUCAUAGACUGGCUGCGGAACAAGCUCACACCCACCAUUGACUACCAUCCCUUGAAAAGCAUUCAUUCUGGGAGAGCUGCCAGGGUUGGGGGACGAGGCAGUAGCCUUUUGAAUUUCAGAUAACCAGGCAUGUAUACCCUGCAGAGGACUGUGGGAGGGAUGCCUGAGAGCCUUUACCACCUGAGGAGUCACCUCAGUUGCUGCCUGCUGCUGUUGAAUACGCUGCAGGAGACAUUUAAAAAGAAUAAGGAUUAACAAUAAAUACCACUCUGCCAGUUAAGGCAUAUGUGAGCAUCCAGAAGGAUCAAUGUCCUUUUUAUAAUUGUUUUUAUUGAGCUAUAUAUUUUUCUCUGUUCCCCUUCCUUCCUCUCCCCUCUCCUUCUACCCACUCCCAUGGUCCUCAUGUUCCCAAUUUACUCAGGAGAUCUUGCCGUUUUUUAUUUCCCAUGUAGACUAGAUCCAUGUAUGUCUCUCCUAGGGUCCUCUUUGUUGUCUAGUUCCCUGGGAUUGUGAUUUGUAGGCUGGUUUUUCUUUGCUUUAUUUCUAAAAGCCACUUAUGAGUGAGUACAUAUUAUGUUUGUCUUUCUGGGUCUGGGUUACCUCACUCAAUAUGAUAUUUUCUAGAUCCAUCCAUUUGCCUGCAAAUUUCAAGAUGUCAUAAUUUUUUUCCAUUGUGUAGUACUCCAUUGUGCAAAUGUACCACAUUUAAUUUAUCCAUUCGGUUGAGGGGCAUUUAGGUUGUUUUCAGGUUCUGGCUAUGACAAACAACGCUUGCUGCUAUGAACAUAGCUGAGCUCAUGUCCUUGUGGUAUGAUUGAGCAUCCUUUGUGUAUAUAUCCAAAAGUGGUAUUGCUGGGUCUUGAGGUAGGUUGUCAAAUAGCCUUUUUUAUAUUAUGCCAAACUUUCUCAAAAAAUGAAGAGUCAAAGGCCAUAACCUCUCCCCUUUUCUGAUCUAGUUGAAAAAUAAGAUCCUGUAUGCUAGCUGUAAUGAACAAUAUAGAAACUUAGCUGACCAUGGGCCCUUAAUAUAUUUAGCCAGCUCCUGGGGUGCUGAACUAACAUCCCUCAUCUCAAAAGGCAUCAUACAAAAUGAGGGGAAGUGAGGACCACAAAUGAGUCUCAUCAAGGUAAUUAAAGUGCAAAUCUCUUUCUCUAAUAACACAUCAAUUUGUUUGGGGGACAAUUAGAGCAAGACAGGGGAGGAGGUACAUCAGCUAUCCUGCGUUAUUCCUUCCUUGGUGGCAGCAGACAGCUCUUAAUGGGACCCAUAUUGGCGUCUUGGCAGUCUGAGGAAAUACACAAGCAUCCCUUCACCCACAGGUUAGCAGGCAAAGCAGGCUAUGGUCUGCAGUCCUUUGCCUAAUGAAAUCCCUUAUUGCAGCCGGGGCAUCGGGUCCUAGGUUUUGCCUCAGGUGGCCUGGUUUGCUGCACCCCCCAGCAAGAUCUAUCAACUUGGGGGCCCUUGGGUGUGUCAUCAGCAGGCUGCCUGUCUGCAAAGAGGGCAUCCAGGGAAGCAGUGAGGGCAGCAAUGGGACUAUUACUGAGAUCAAGAUCUCUUGUGGCUGCACCCACUUGUGAAUGUCUUCAUUGCGGGUGGGGGCAUUAAGCCCUUCCCAAACCAAUUGUUUGAUUAUCAUUUCCCUAAUGGGGCCCCGUUCUCCUCUCUACUCCAUCGCCUCAUGGACACAUGCGAGAAAAUCAGUAAAAAUUUCCCCUGGCUGUACAGACUAGCGACUGUAGCAUCUUCUUCCCACAUAUUUACAGCCUGAGACUGCGCUUCUACAAGACCAGCUAACCCCUCCCCUGUGCUGUACCUAAUAACCCCACAGAGCUUCUGGCUUCCUGGCAGUGGUAGCAUUAGAAAACUCCACCGGCCCCCAGUGUCACUGUACGUGUGUCUGUGUGUCUGUUUUUUCUUCAUUCCCUCACUUCCCCUAGCCAGGGAUCCAGAACCCAAGCCCAAUGGGAGACGGUACCUGAAAUUAAACCAAAUAUCAGUGUGCAUGAGCCCCGCACAGUUACACAAAGCUGAUCCGGUUGCCUUUGGGCCAGGAGUGAAGCUUUUUCAUGAGAAAGGGAAAGGGGGCUUCAAUAACCGCCUAGAACCUGUAACUGAUAUUCCUGAUCCCUUAUAAUCCAAGCUCAGGGCAUCCAAGAGGCAUUUGCAGGAACUGAAUCUUUAAACCAUGCCUUUUUCAGAGAGCUAGCAACACGAGAGGAUGGUGGACGGGCAUCCUAAGCUGUCUUCCCCUCAUCUGCAGCCAUCAGAUGAUACAGGGAUGGGGAACCAAAGGCUCAUCUUGUCCUCUGGCCAGGGCAUUGCCUGGUCUCUCAGACUCUAUGUUUCCCUCACUACUUUUGCUCUGUGCAGCAGGGCAGGGUUCACAUACACCAAAGUCACUGAGUCCUGCAUUCCCCAGGUCAGUGUGUGGGUGAUGAGAUUUAAGGUUAACUCAGAGGCAACGAGCCAACAGAAGUCUAUCCAUGAUGGGCUGCGCUGCGGGUGUGCAGAUCCCUCUGGCAGAAUGUAGGGCAAAUGUCUCUGAAAUAGAGGAUAUGAAAUGUCUAGCAGAGUCCCAUGCAAACCAACACCUGAAAAUUGAGUCUUUGUUUACAGGUAUAAAAGACUAUCAGGAAAGUCAACACGUGAAUCUGAAAAAUAUGUGGCAAUCAGAGCCACAGACUCAAGAGUAAUCACAUAUCAAAAAAUUAAACAAAAAUUAAAAAAUAAACGUGAACAGCCAAUAACCAAUGACAAUUUAGGGAAAAAUAUCAAAUGGUAAUAUUUGAUAUUGAAAAUACUUUAAUCAAUUUGGAAAAAAGUAAGCCAGGUGUAGUGGUGUAUGCCUUUAACCCCAGCACUUGAGAGGCAGGUGAAUAUCUGCAAGAUCAAGUCCAGCCUGGUCUACAUUGUGAGUUCCAAGAUAACCAGAGCUAUAUAGUGACAACUGGUCUCAAAAAUAAAAAAGGAUUAAGAUAAAUUUAGAAUUUUUGAAAUAUUAAAAUGUAAGAAAUAAUGAAAAAAAGUUAAGGCAUAGAAAACUACAAAGUACAUUUGUUAUGCCCAGUCCAUGAGGACACAAAAAGAUCACCAGGGAGACCGACUCACUGAAAUGCAAAGGCAAGAUUUAUUAUGUGUACAAUACAAGUCAGCAAGGACCUCCUCAAAGCAACGGGCACAGCAGCAGCAAGAGGAGGUGCCCCGCCCUUCUAGAGGGCAUUAUUUAAAGGUGGUGGUGUUUACGUGCUGAGUUUUAUGUCCUGAAUGGCACUUCCAUCAGAGAGUCCACUGUGAAGGUGCCUACAAAGGUCUGCCAUUGGGUGGAGGUGCUGUUCCACAGUUAGGGUCACUCAGUACCAAGUGCAUAGGGCAAAAGCACAGUCAAACAGGUCUACAUAGUCUACAUAGAAAGUUCCAGGACAGACAGGUGUAGGACCCAGCAAUGACCGAGCUCAACAGAGGCCCUAGUCUCAGAAGUCUAAGGCAAUUCCUGGUUCCAAGAAAGACCACACACCCAGGCACCACCCAGGAACAGAUCAUCCACAGGAAAUUCCUAAUGUUUCAACCAUUGUAGAUAGGACCACUUGACGUCCCUUGGACUAGCACACACCCAUCACUUUCCCCCAGGACAUCCCUAGAGAAAUGUCAGCCAAUCAGGCUUGCUGAACCUUAGAAAUACCUAACCCCAAUCUCUGCUAUUAUAAAAACCUCAUCCCAACUAAUGUCAGGGCUCUCCUACCACACCAAUGCAUUGGACCCACAGAUAGUCCGAGUUCAAACUUAAAUAAGAAGAAAGGCUCUUUGCUUUUACAUACAGGACUCAGUCUCCUUGUUGGUUUUUGGGGGACUCCUUGAUCUGGGCAUAACACCAGGGCUACAAAGUGAGACACUAUCUUUAAAAAAAAAAUCAGGAUGAGAGGAAACAGUCAAAAUA